rnacentral:tRNA from 1 species
GGCUCUGUGGCGCAAUGGAUAGCACGUUGGACUUCUAAUUCAAAGGUUGUGGGUUCGAGUCCCACCGGAGUCU